GUUUUAACAAUGCUUCAACCAAUAUUUGAAACUGUAGGAUCCCUUGAGCUUUUAUUAAACUGCAACUUUGACUUACACAAAUUGAAUUUAAACAUCCCACUUUUUUAUAAGGAUAUCUUGAAUAUCUGGAAAUUCCAUUUUUUACAAAGAUGUUGACAUCUUUUAUCAAAUUAUUUGGAACAAUAAAAAUGUGCUUAUAAACAGAAAAAGCUUAUAUGACUCAGAUUGGAAAGAAGCAGGUAUUAUUUGAGUUUGGCAAUUACUGAAAAAAAAUGGAAAUUUCCUGCAAAGACAAACAUUAGCUAGGAUGUAUGGACUAGAAAUUUCCCAAAGAAAAUACAGAUUGUAUACAAAUGCCAUAAAAAGAGCAAUUGGUCAAAAUGUUUAUUUUAAAUAUAUGACUUGUUCUUUUCCAAGUGAUGUUUGCCCAGAUAUAAACGGUGUAAACGUUGCUGAUAUUCCUGAUAAUGCCAAGUCCUGGUACAACUUAAUGCAUAAUAUUUGUUGUGUGACAGAAGAGGAUACUUGUACAAGAAUCAGAAUUAGAAAAUAAAUACAAACAAUUACAGUUUAAAGUUCUUCACUCAAUUUUGCCUUGAACAAGUAAACUGUGUGAACACUGUGGCAAUGCUGACACUGUCAGACAUUAUAUGGUUUAUUGCUCUCGUGUUUGGCCAUUCUGGAUUUCCUAUUUUAAAUGGGCAAAAGCAAAUAUUCAAGAUAACGUAUAUCCAAAUGACAGAGAUGUUGUAUUAUAUGGCCUUCAUGGAGACUCUGAAGACUGUAAAUUAUUUAACUAUGUAUUGAUGUUUGCUAAAUUUA